GACGAACGCUGGCGGCGUGCUUAACACAUGCAAGUCGAACGGAAAGGCCCUGCUUUUGUGGGGUGCUCGAGUGGCGAACGGGUGAGUAACACGUGAGUAACCUGCCCUUGACUUUGGGAUAACUUCAGGAAACUGGGGCUAAUACCGGAUAGGAGCUCCUGCUGCAUGGUGGGGGUUGGAAAGUUUCGGCGGUUGGGGAUGGACUCGCGGCUUAUCAGCUUGUUGGUGGGGUAGUGGCUUACCAAGGCUUUGACGGGUAGCCGGCCUGAGAGGGUGACCGGCCACAUUGGGACUGAGAUACGGCCCAGACUCCUACGGGAGGCAGCAGUGGGGAAUAUUGCACAAUGGGCGGAAGCCUGAUGCAGCAACGCCGCGUGCGGGAUGACGGCCUUCGGGUUGUAAACCGCUUUCGCCUGUGACGAAGCGUGAGUGACGGUAAUGGGUAAAGAAGCACCGGCUAACUACGUGCCAGCAGCCGCGGUGAUACGUAGGGUGCGAGCGUUGUCCGGAUUUAUUGGGCGUAAAGGGCUCGUAGGUGGUUGAUCGCGUCGGAAGUGUAAUCUUGGGGCUUAACCCUGAGCGUGCUUUCGAUACGGGUUGACUUGAGGAAGGUAGGGGAGAAUGGAAUUCCUGGUGGAGCGGUGGAAUGCGCAGAUAUCAGGAGGAACACCAGUGGCGAAGGCGGUUCUCUGGGCCUUUCCUGACGCUGAAGAGCGAAAGCGUGGGGAGCGAACAGGCUUAGAUACCCUGGUAGUCCACGCUGUAAACGGUGGGUACUAGGUGUGGGGUCCAUUCCACGGGUUCCGUGCCGUAGCUAACGCUUUAAGUACCCCGCCUGGGGAGUACGGCCGCAAGGCUAAAACUCAAAGGAAUUGACGGGGCCCCGCACAAGCGGCGGAGCAUGCGGAUUAAUUCGAUGCAACGCGUAGAACCUUACCUGGGUUUGACAUGGAUCGGGAGCGCUCAGAGAUGGGUGUGCCUCUUUUGGGGUCGGUUCACAGGUGGUGCAUGGCUGUCGUCAGCUCGUGUCGUGAGAUGUUGGGUUAAGUCCCGCAACGAGCGCAACCCUUGUUCACUGUUGCCAGCACGUUAUGGUGGGGACUCAGUGGAGACCGCCGGGGUCAACUCGGAGGAAGGUGGGGAUGACGUCAAGUCAUCAUGCCCCUUAUGUCCAGGGCUUCACGCAUGCUACAAUGGCUGGUACAGAGAGUGGCGAGCCUGUGAGGGUGAGCGAAUCUCGGAAAGCCGGUCUCAGUUCGGAUUGGGGUCUGCAACUCGACCUCAUGAAGUCGGAGUCGCUAGUAAUCGCAGAUCAGCAACGCUGCGGUGAAUACGUUCCCGGGGCU
rnacentral:rRNA from 1 species